CAGCACCUCAAGUGGUCAGGAGGAUUAUUGGGCCUAAAGCAUCCGUAGCCUGUUCUAUAAGUUUUCGGUUAAAUCCAUAUGCUCAACAUAUGGGCUGCCGUAAAUACUGUAGAACUAGGGAGUGGGAGAGGUAGACGGUACUCGAUAGGAAGGGGUAAAAUCCUUUGAUCUAUUGAUGACCACCUGUGGCGAAGGCGGUCUACCAGAACACGUUCGACGGUGAGGGAUGAAAGCUGGGGGAGCAAACCGGAUUAGAUACCCGGGUAGUCCCAGCUGUAAACGAUGCAGACUCGAUGAUGCAAUGGCAUAUAGCUAUUGCAGUAUCGCAGGGAAGCCGUUAAGUUUGCCGCCUGGGAAGUACGUACGCAAGUAUGAAACUUAAAGGAAUUGGCGGGGGAGCACCACAAGGGGUGAAGCCUGCGGUUCAAUUGGAGUCAACGCCAGAAAUCUUACCCGGAGAGACAGCAGAAUGAAGGUCAGGCUGAAGACCUUACCAGACAAGCUGAGAGGUGGUGCAUGGCCGUCGUCAGCUCGUGCCGUGAGAUGUCCUGUUAAGUCAGGUAACGAGCGAGAUCCCUGCCACUAGUUGCUAUCAUUACUCUCAGGAGUAGUGGGGCGAAUUA
rnacentral:rRNA from 1 species